GAUGAACGCUAGCGACAGGCUUAACACAUGCAAGUCGAGGGGCAUCAUGAGGUAGCAAUACCUUGAUGGCGACCGGCGCACGGGUGAGUAACGCGUAUGCAACCUGCCCGAUACCGGGGUAUAGCCCAUGGAAACGUGGAUUAACACCCCAUAGUACUAUUAUCCUGCCUGGGAUGGGAGUUAAAUGUUCAAGGUAUCGGAUGGGCAUGCGUCCUAUUAGUUAGUUGGCGGGGUAACAGCCCACCAAGACGAUGAUAGGUAGGGGUUCUGAGAGGAAGGUCCCCCACAUUGGAACUGAGACACGGUCCAAACUCCUACGGGAGUCAGCAGUGAGGAAUAUUGGUCAAUGGACGUAAGUCUGAACCAGCCAAGUCGCGUGAGGGAAGACUGCCCUAUGGGUUGUAAACCUCUUUUAUAAGGGAAGAAUAAGUUCUACGUGUAGAAUGAUGCCUGUACCUUAUGAAUAAGCAUCGGCUAACUCCGUGCCAGCAGCCGCCGUAA
rnacentral:rRNA from 1 species